UGCAAAAAAGAAAGAUUAAAAAUUAAAAAAGGAACUCGGCAAAACCUAGCCCCAACUGUUUACCAAAAACAUAGCCUUCAGCCAACAAAGUAUUGAAGGUAACGCCUGCCCAGUGAACACUUAAACGGCCGCGGUAUCCUAACCGUGCAAAGGUAGCGUAAUCACUUGUCUUCUAAAUAAAGACCUGUACGAACGGCUAAAUGAGGGCUAAUCUGUCUCCUUUAAUUAAUCAGUGAAACUGAUCUACCAGUACAAAAGCUGGUAUUUUACCAUAAGACGAGAAGACCCUGUGGAGCUUAAAAUUAAAAGCCAAAACAGUGCUUUACCAACCACAACUUAUGGCCAAAAAUUUUAAGUUGGGGCGACUUCGGAACAAAACAAAACUUCCGAGCAUAAAGGAACUUUACCUUAACAAGACCAACAAGUCUAAACAAAACUAGACCCAGUACAACUGAUCACCGAACCAAGUUACCCCAGGGAUAACAGCGCAAUCUUCUUCAAGAGUUCAUAUCGACAAGAAGGUUUACGACCUCGAUGUUGGAUCAGGACACCCAAAUGGUGCAGCAGCUAUUAAAGGUUCGUUUGUUCAACGAUUAAUAGUCCUACGUGAUCUGAGUUCAGACCGGAGCAAUCCAGGUCGGUUUCUAUCUAUGCAGUUGCUUCCUACAGUACGAAAGGACCCAGAAAGCAGGACCCAUGCUAAUAGUACGUCCUACCACCUAGGGCUGAUUUAAACUAAAACCCUUACAACCCCAUUAACCCGAAGAUAACGGGCUUA
rnacentral:rRNA from 1 species